rnacentral:rRNA from 1 species
AUUGAACGCUGGCGGUAUGCCUAACACAUGCAAGUCGAACGAGAGGCGGACGGGUUAGUAAUGUCUGGGACACUGCCUGAUGGAGGGGGAUACCUACUGGAAACGGUUGCUAAUACCGCAUACCAUCGGAUGUGCCCAGAUGUGAUUAGCUAGUAGGUGGGGUAAAGGCGCACCAAGGCGACGAUCCCUAGCUGGUCUGCGAGGAUGACCAGCCACACUGGAACUGAGACACGGUCCAGACUCCUACGGGAGGCAGCAGUGGGGAAUAUUGCACAAUGGGCGCAAGCCUGAUGCAGCCAUGCCGCGUGUAUGAAGAAGGCCUUCGGGUUGUAAAGUACUUUUAGCGGGGAGGCGUUACCCGCAGAAGAAGCACCGGCUAACUCCGUGCCAGCCGCCGCGGUAAUUC